UCACACUCACAUUGACAUUGUUAAAAAAGAAAAAAAACAAGAUUUAACAAUUUUAAACAGAAACAGGCAAAGCAAAAGUUGAGGGAACGGCGUUGUAACCUGAUAUAACUCGUCACUCUGCAGCAGUCCCUUGUUCACCGGAUUCCCGUCCUUUUUAACGCUGUGCUCCAUUUGCAAAGAGAAAGCAACUAGUCCAAGCAAUUCUACAAAUCCAACAGUUACGGACAGAUUAAUCGAAACUCGAUGGACAUGUUUGUACAAUGGCAGAGAGAGCAACCCUGCAAAACUAAACUUCAAUGGCACCAAAAAUCCCAAAGUUUUGAACUUUUGAGUAACAAAUUCCCACCUUUUGAUCAUUUUAAAUAAAGAAAACUAAUUAUAGACAAAAUAAAGGGUAAAGUGAAUAGUACCAAGAUUAACUUUUUAGUGUAAAAAUGUGGUUUUUCGUUAAAGUAAACAGUACCGUGCUUUUCGUUAAAGUUCCUUUAAAUAAUCAACGAAGGCAGUCUAUAAGGAUCUUAAAAUUCCAACAUAAAACAAUUUUCUAUGAAGAUAUAAACUCAUCAACUCCUAUAAAUUUCACAAACUGAUAAAAGCCAUAGUAGGGAAAGGGGAAUUGAACCCGGGACCUCGAAAUAAUGGUUUUAACCUACGGAACUACAAGAACAUUGACUCGCACCAACUUUGAUCAAGCUAAAUAACCCAAAACCCCAUUUCUCGGCUACUCAUCAAUCUCAAACUUCCCACGAUUCCGAUUACAUUUCUUAGGCCACAAGGUUUCUGGGUUUUUUUCCCCUUCAUUUCUUCCUCAAUUCUAAAUCUUUGCAAUCUGUUCAUAAAAACAAUUCAGCACAAAACAUUGCAGCCUCAACUUUUUUUUAACAGAGAAUUACUGUGAAGAAAGAAAGAGAAGUACCCGAUCCCGAUGAUUACAAGUGAAGGUAGAGUCUUCCGUCGUUGGAGCGAUGGUGAACCGAAUCGACACUUCUCUGCCCACAACAAAUCAUAAAUAAAUAUGCUUUGAUGAGUUGAGAAUUUCUCGUGACUAUUGUUGCUGGACUUGUUUAUUUGCUGCCCCUUUGAACUUUUCAAACUCUUUAUUUUGAAUGUAAGUUCGUUAGUCAAAAGAAUUUUCACAUUAUAAUAAUUUCAUGAAUUAAUACUCAUAUUUUUAGUUCAGCAACCAAAGCAUCAAUUGGAUCAAAAUUCAAAGAUCAUUGCUUCAAUUUUUUUAAUUAUGAAAUGGCGAAUAACUUCAAAAUGAGAGAUUUUUUAGUAUGCUAGAAAUACGGUAUGGGUACAUCAAGUGUAACAAUACAAUUAGUUGAAAAUUUGAUAAAAAAGUCAACCAAUUAUAUUAUGACACUACUUGUAGUGACCGUGUUUUCGGCACGUUAAAAACUAUGGAACUUUAACGAAAAGCAUCCGAUAUUGUUUAUUUUAACGAAAAAUCAUAUUUUUACACUAAAAAGUUAAUUCUGAUACUAUUCAUUUUACCCUUUAUUUUAUCCUUAUCAUUAAAAUUAAAAAUUAAUCUCCUUAAAAACUAAAUAAAAAAAGACAGAGCCAAUACAAAUCUACCGACACAAAAAAUAAAAAAAGACAAGUCGAAUCACAAUAAAACCAAGCACCAUCAAAGCAAAAGCAAACUCAACAGUAAAAGCGGGCUCUUUACUCAUUAUUUCACAUAUGGUUUGGUCCAAGUAGCAAUAAUACAACCUCAAUUAUUUCGCAUAUAGUUUGAUCCUAAGUAGCAAUAGUACAACCUCAAUUAUUUCGAUCAUUUCACAUCGUUGAUUCUCAUUCAUGACUUAUCUCGAUAAUUUUGUAAAUCUAUUCUAUUAAAAAAGAUGCCUUGUCAACUUUUUAUCUUUUUUUUUCUUAUUUUUCCUUCACUUCUUCACUUUUAUACAUAAAGUUGACAUGAGGAGGGUAAAAUAGUAAUUUUAUAUCUUUUGAGAAAAUGAUAAUCAUAUCCUUAUUUUUACUAUUUUACCUUUUUUUUUUUUUUUGUAGAAAAUGACAAUCAUAUUCAUAUUUUACCCUCACUUUUGAUACACAAUAUUUACAUAAGAGGACGAAAUAAAAUGAAAUUAUUCACACACACAAAGUGAGAAAACGACAAUCAUAUUUCUAUUUUUCCUAUUUUACCCUAACUUUUGAUACAUAAUAUUUACAUAAGGAGGACAAAACAUUAAUUAUGUAAUAUUAAAAAAAAUACACUUAUUAAGAGAAAUUGUUUAUCUACACAAAGUGUAUGUUCUCUGAUAGUAGUAAUUAUAGAUGUAACUCAAGUUAUGGAUAAUACUUGUUCGUCAAGCAUUUUAUUUAACUUGAUCAGCAAACGCCAUAUUGUGAUCCCGUCACCCAUCGUAACCUUGAAAAUUUCGACGCGAGUGUCAGCGGAAACCAAUUCGUUUAACUCAAUUGCACACUGCCGCCACUCCCUUUUGGCCUCCGGAACAUCCUCUUCCAGCCAAGCAACUGUUCCUCCCCAGAGUGUGUUAUCGUACAUUACCAUCCCGCCAACCUUAAUCCGUUUGAUUAGCCUCUCUUGGUAAUUCUAGUAGUUGUUCUUGUCCGCGUCAACGAAAGCAAAGUCGAAACUCCCUUCCUUCUCUGGCUGCAGAAAAAUAUGCACGAAGAACUACCAAUCUUCAAAUACAAGAAACUGAAAAGGUAAGAGUCAGAAACAAAGUUUAGGGAAGUGAUUUCCACACGUAUCUUUUCUCCGCCUGCUGCACACUCCUGUUACACGGAAGGAGAAAAUGAAUGUGCGGUUAUCACUUUCUAAAGUCUUAAGAGUACAGAGUUUCUCAGCUUACGUCUUGUAACAGUUUAUCAAGAAUUGGCAGAGCUGGGGACUCAAUGAAGUCGAUUUUGUUUUCGACGCCAGCUUUUUUGAUACUUGGCAACCCCAUUUCGUAUGCUUUUCGGUCGAUGUCUACGGCCGUAAUCUGCAAGGCAUAAUGUUUGUUGUAGGUAAACAUAUAUCAGCUGAAUUGGAGAGAGGUAUGUCAUCAGGAGUUGGGAGAGCCGUGAGGAGAAGAGAGUAGCCGGUAAAAAUUCCGAUUUCAAUUGCCGUUUUCGGAUUCACCAGCUUCAAGAGAAGGGCCAUGAACUGACCUGAAUCAGUGAAGUGCUCAUGAAAGCCCUGCACAGUAAAACUGUUAAACCCUAUAUUGAUCUGGGUGAAGCAUAAGAAGGUUCCACAGAAGACUUGCUAACAUUUUGUAAUUGAAGAAACUACCACAAGACAUGCUAACAAGUUGGCUUUCUAACCAAAAUGGCUUAUUUCAAAUAGUUCAGGUUAAUUUACCAAAAAAUAGUUUAAAAGGUCAAUUUCAACUUGAGUAAUAGUUCAAAAUGUCAAACAGCAGUUUAUCCUUAUAAAUAUAAAAACACUCAUCAAGUUUAUUAAUUCAAUUUUGCAAUUCCAUUCACUGCAUAGUCUAUCAAAUAGAAAGGGAGCAUUAGUUGGGAACUGGAUCCCCUUCGGAUCCAUAUAUACUGAGCCUGCUGAGCAGGCGAUCCGGAUCGUUGAAAUUUGAUUAAACGGCUAAAAUUAUUAUCACUUUUAGAGGGUCCUCUGUUUGUAACUGUUAGAUCAAAUUUCAACGGCCCGGAUCGCCUGCUCAGUAGGCUCAGUUUUAUUGGAUCCGAAGGGAAUCCGAUUCCUAGAAUUUCAUCAUCGCAUUCUGUGAGGGAGUUUCCUGCAUAAUUUGGAUAGGGAAAUUUAGAAAAAUAACUAAAAUUUAUGCCUCAUAUAGAAUUAUAGUCAUCCUUUCAAAUUUUUGAUAAUUAUAACAAAAAAAUUGAUAUAAAAGUACUAAUAUACCCCCGCUAACAAAAAACUUCACUUUUUUUCUUUUUAGUACAUCGAUAUAUUUGUUCUCCAUUUAUUCUUAACCGUGAAAAAAAUUAAGUGCAUAAUCUUGUUUAUUAACAACACUUAGACAAAGCAGAGAUCACUCAACAAUAAAUUAUUUCAUUGAAACUAUUUUGAGUUCUUAAAACAUAAAUAUCAAAUCUCCAAUUGUCAAGGGAGAUUGCCAAGUCCCCGAGCUUUAGACAUGUAAGGCUACAUCUUUCAAGAAAGAAUCAGUAAAGUCGACGACAAAUUGUGAUCCCAUCACCCAAAGAAGCAUGUGAAAUCUGGACACGAGGAUCGGCUGCAAGUAACUUGUUAAGCUCGAUUGUCGCCUGUUUGCCUGGUUUCCUGAACUCCGGAAUCAACUCAUCAGGCAUUACAACCGUUCCUCCCCAGAGGGUGUUAUCAUAGACAACUAUACCACCCACCUUCAACAGCUUCAUUAACCUCUCAUGGUAGUUCCAGUAGUUGACCUUGUCGGCAUCGAUGAAAGCAAAGUCGAAACUUCCUUCGUUUUCAUGCUGCAAACAAAACCACGAGAAAGCGAAAAAUGUCACAACUAUGGUUUUUCUUAUUUCGGCUGAAGAUUAUGGUUUGAAACGUAAAAUACUUGCAUUUUCUAGUAGCUUAUCAAGAACCGGUAGGGCCUGGGAUUCAAUGAAGUCGAUUUUGUGCUCAACACCGGCUUUCUUUAUGAUUGGAAGCCCUAUUUGCUCAUACGUCUCACGAUUCACAUCUAUGGCUACAAUCUGCAGUACAACAAAUUAUGAGCUCAACGCGACCGGAAGAGCAGAUUCAGAUAUUAGUAGUGACAGACCUUGCCAUCGUCAGGAAUUGUAAGAGCAGUGAGGAGGAGAGAGUAUCCGGUGAAAACGCCAACUUCAAUAGUUUUCUUUGCAUCUACUAGCUUCAACAGCAUGGCCAUUAACUGACCUGCAUCUGGUGCAGUAGCCAUCUCAGCCCUGAAAACAAACUAGCUAAUUAAAAACCCUCCUCGACAGUUUGAUCAAGAAAUGCUCGACAGUUUUCGCUCGCUUAGACGAAGUGUAUGCCAAGUUCUAGCCUGGCUUGGUAGCUUAAUGAACUUAAAAAGCAGGCAAUCUUAAAACAAGUUCUGCUAAGAUAUGUAGGAUCAUAACCUCGGGUGGCUGGCGGUGGCAGCUCUAAGCUCCUUGAGAGGCUCCGGUUCAUGUGGAUACACACUAGUCUCCAAGAUAUACUGUCACAUCGACAUUGUUAAAAAACAAGAUUUAACAAAUUUAAUCAGAAACAGGCAAAGCGAAAGUUGAGGGAACGGCGUUGUAACCUGAUAUAACUCGUCACUCUGCAGCAGUCCCUUCUUCUCUAGAUUCAGGUCCUUUUUGGCGCUGUGCUCCAUUUGCAAAGAGAAAGCAACUAGUCCAAGCAAUUCUACAAAUCCAACAGUUACGGACAGAUUAAUCGAAACUCGAUGGACAUGUUGUACAAUGGCAGAGAGGGUACCACUGCAAAACUGAACUUCAAUGGCACCAAAAAUCCCCAAGUUCUGAACUUUUGAGUAACAAAUUCC
rnacentral:lncRNA from 1 species